GACGAACGCUGGCGGCGUGCUUAACACAUGCAAGUCGAACGGAAAGGCCCUGCUUUUGUGGGGUGCUCGAGUGGCGAACGGGUGAGUAACACGUGAGUAACCUGCCCUUGACUUUGGGAUAACUUCAGGAAACUGGGGCUAAUACCGGAUAGGAGCUCCUGCUGCAUGGUGGGGGUUGGAAAGUUUCGGCGGUUGGGGAUGGACUCGCGGCUUAUCAGCUUGUUGGUGGGGUAGUGGCUUACCAAGGCUUUGACGGGUAGCCGGCCUGAGAGGGUGACCGGCCACAUUGGGACUGAGAUACGGCCCAGACUCCUACGGGAGGCAGCAGUGGGGAAUAUUGCACAAUGGGCGGAAGCCUGAUGCAGCAACGCCGCGUGCGGGAUGACGGCCUUCGGGUUGUAAACCGCUUUCGCCUGUGACGAAGCGUGAGUGACGGUAAUGGGUAAAGAAGCACCGGCUAACUACGUGCCAGCAGCCCGCGGUGAUACCUAAGGUGCGAGCGUUGUCCGGAUUUAUUGGGCGUAAAGGGCUCGUAGGUGGUUGAUCGCGUCGGAAGUGUAAUCUUGGGGCUUAACCCUGAGCGUGCUUUCGAUACGGGUUGACUUGAGGAAGGUAGGGGAGAAUGGAAUUCCUGGUGGAGCGGUGGAAUGCGCAGAUAUCAGGAGGAACACCAGUGGCGAAGGCGGUUCUCUGGGCCUUUCCUGACGCUGAGGAGCGAAAGCGUGGGGAGCGAACAGGCUUAGAUACCCUGGUAGUCCACGCUGUAAACGGUGGGUACUAGGUGUGGGGUCCAUUCCACGGGUUCCGUGCCGUAGCUAACGCUUUAAGUACCCCGCCUGGGGAGUACGGCCGCAAGACUAAAACUCAAAGGAAUUGACGGGGCCCCGCACAAGCGGCGGAGCAUGCGGAUUAAUUCGAUGCAACGCGUAGAACCUUACCUGGGUUUGACAUGGAUCGGGAGCGCUCAGAGAUGGGUGUGCCUCUUUUGGGGUCGGUUCACAGGUGGUGCAUGGCUGUCGUCAGCUCGUGUCGUGAGAUGUUGGGUUAAGUCCCGCAACGAGCGCAACCCUUGUUCACUGUUGCCAGCACGUUAUGGUGGGGACUCAGUGGAGACCGCCGGGGUCAACUCGGAGGAAGGUGGGGAUGACGUCAAGUCAUCAUGCCCCUUAUGUCCAGGGCUUCACGCAUGCUACAAUGGCUGGUACAGAGAGUGGCGAGCCUGUGAGGGUGAGCGAAUCUCGGAAAGCCGGUCUCAGUUCGGAUUGGGGUCUGCAACUCGACCUCAUGAAGUCGGAGUCGCUAGUAAUCGCAGAUCAGCAACGCUGCGGUGAAUACGUUCCCGGGGCU
rnacentral:rRNA from 1 species